CUUAGCUUCCAGCUUGAAUAUACAGCCUUCAGCAGUUGCAUAAAUAAUACUCAAAGUUAUAGCAUUAAAAUUGCUUUCAGUUUUGGUGUAACCACUGCACAGUGCUUUUCAACAAGCUGAGCUUUCUUAGAUUUUGUCAUUGUUAUUCAUCAUACUCAGCCUGUGUCUGCUCAUGUCUAUAAACGAAGGCCAUCUUCAUGUGAUGAUUUGAUUGUAAUAGCAGGGUGGGCACUUCCCCACAAAACAGUGAAAUCAUCGUUGAUCCCCAUUACCAAAGACAUGAUGCUCCAGGACUGACUCGAUUUUUAAUCCAAAGGAUGGCUGGGCUCUUCUCAAGGAGCCUUGCUCUAGCUUCCCUGGGCUCUGAGGAAUGCCCAGCUACAUCAACCUUCAUAUUUCUCUGCAAGACACAGGAGUAUCCCAGAGAAGCUCCAAUAUCCUCAGAACAAAAGGUCUCUUAGACAUGGAUUUUCUUCCUCCUCUGCCAUUCCUGAGACAGCGAGACCAACCCCUCCUCUUCUUCCAUCUCAGCCUACUCAACUUGAAGAUGACAAGGAUGAAGACCUUUAUGAUGGUUCUACUUCCGCUUAAUGAAUAGUCUCGGGUGGGGCCUCUUCCUAACAAGCCUCCUAACGAUAUUAACACUGCUGCCAUGGAGGAGAAGUUAGUGGCUGGACACACUGAAAGACACCAUUUAAAACUGCAAAGCAAGAUUUCUCUGUAAGAUUGCAUGGAAAGGCUCUCUGUAAUGAGACACUGAAAACUCAGCGAGACCCUGACUGGAAUAUUAAAAAGAGGCCCUCCUCACUGUGUUUGACUCAUUGCUACUGUUACUGGAAAGAGGCCCGAAUUCAGACCCCAAAACAGGGCUCUUGGAUCUCGUGCAAGAAAAAAUUGGGGUUAAUGUCCCAUGGUCUUUGUUAGGC
rnacentral:lncRNA from 1 species